AUUGAACGCUGGCGGCAGGCCUAACACAUGCAAGUCGAACGAGUGGCGGACGGGUGAGUAAUGUCUGGGAAACUGCCUGAUGGAGGGGGAUAACUACUGGAAACGGUAUCUAAUACCGCAUACCAUCAGAUGUGCCCAGAUGGGCUUAGCUAGUUGGUGGGGUAACGGCUCACCAAGGCGACGAGCCCUAGCUGGUCUGAGAGGAUGACCAGCCAACAUGGAAGUUGGACAAGGUCCAGCAUCCUACGGGAGGGAGCAGUGGGGAAUAUUGAACAAUGGGCGCAAGCCUGAUGCAGCAAUGCCGCGUGUAUGAAGAAGGCCUUCGGGUUGUAAAGUACUUUCAGCGGGGAGGCGUUACCCGCAGAAGAAGCACCGGCUAACUCCGUGCCAGCAGCCGCGGUAAUUC
rnacentral:rRNA from 1 species